GUGAGUCCCAGGUUUUUUAAUCAAAAUUUAAAAAGGACUACUUGAAAUUGGUAUCUUUCAUUUUGUAUCAUAAAGGAUUUUCAUUAAAAUGCUGUUUUGAAAGAAUUGCUUACAUUGUACUAUCAAUUUAUCAAUGGGUUCGAAUAGUCCAGCGCACUUCUUUUACAGACACCUGUUGUUUUAAAAUAGCUAAUCAUAUGUUCAUACUGAUUUUUCAGAGAAUGCUCCAGAGAUUGUUGGCGAGGCCAUUGAAUCAGAUGUGUCAAAAGUUUCCUUGAUUGACGAUGAUCACUACAGACCUAGACGGGGAAUCCAAAUCGAAAAAUGUAAAUACGUGUUCCUAGAACAGGACGAGAGUAUGCCCACUGGGUAUGCAUACCUUGUGUCGGGGUCCCAAAUGGCGGUGCCUGUCAUAUGGCUUGAAGCAGUCAAAGCCCAGUUUAAAGGCAAGACAAAGCCUCAUGCUGCUAAACUGGUUUUUAAUGGCUUUUUUCAGCCUCAUGAGGUCAUCAAAAAGACAGGUGCCGAGAUUCUUUCCACUCCAGUUGGAAAAGCUCUGCAGUUGUUCUUUUUACAAGUACUAAACAUGGAGCCAUGUGCAGUUACGAGGGCCAUAAACACUAAAAUACACACAAUGACCAGGGCCAUCAACAUGAAACGUGUAUGAACAAAAUAUAUGAUGGAUUAUUUGCCAUUUUUAGCUCGACUAUUCGAAGAAUAAGUAGAGCUAUCCUACUCACCAUGGCGUCGGCAUCGGCGUUGCACCUUGGUUAAGUUUUUCGUACCAGUCCACUUUUGGACAAAGUCUUUUGAGAUAAAGCUUCGAAACUUUCAACACUUGUUUACUAUCACCAUGACCAGUUAUAGGCAAAUGUACAUAACUCCAUCAAGGAUUUUGGCUGAAUUAUGGCCCUUUUCUACUCAGAAAUCUUGGUUAAGUUUUUUGUACCAGUUCAUAUUUUGUGUAAAGUGUUUGACAUAUGGCUUUGAAACUUUUAUCACUUAUUCAGUAUAAUAGUCUAUAUCUGUAGGAAAGAGUACAUAACUUUAUCAUCUAUUUUGGCUGAAUUACAGCCCUUUUUGGACUUGGAAAUCUGUUCUGUUUUCAUACAAGUCUAUGUUUUGUCAAAACUAUUUGACAUAUAGCUUUUAAACUUUGAACACUUGUUUAUCAUUAUGAUUUCCAUCUGUAGGCAUGAGUACAUAACUCUGACAACUAUUUUGGCUGAAUUAUGGCCCUUUUUGGACUUUGAAAUUAGUUCACACAUUGCCAUUUAGUGCAAGACUAACUGAAAUCCACAAAUACUGGAACAUUGUCUAAUCUAUUUUUUUCUUUUGUCUGAAUAUCUAUGUUAAUAUUUUGACCCCGUUAUUCAAUCAAUUCUUCGAAUAGUCAAGCGCGCUGUCAUCAGACAGCUAUUGUUUUUUUAGAACUAUUAUAGAAGUCCAUUGAGAAAUUGUUUUCAUAUUUUGCAUACUUGAUUACCAUCAUGACCCCAUUCUGUAAACAGGAGCAGACAACUCUAUCAAUCAUUUUGACUGAAUUAUGGCCCCUUUUUGAGUUGAAUGUGCUUAUUGUAAUGUUAAAGUUUGCAUACCACCCCAAAUAUUUUCAAAGUCCAUUGAGAUAUUGCUUUCAUAUUUUGCAUACUUGUUUACCAUUAUGAGCUCAUUCUGUAAACCGGAGCAGACAACUCUAUCAAGCAUUUUGACUGAAUUAUGGCCCCUUUUUGAGUUAGAAUGUGCUUAUUAUAAUGUUAAAAGUUUGCAUACCAACCCAAAUGUUUUCAAAGUCCAUUGAGAUAUUAUUUUCAUAUUUUGCAUACUUGUUUACCAUCAUGACCGCAGUCUGUAAACAGGAGCAGACAACUCUAUAAAAUAUUUUGACUGAAUUAUGGCCCCUUUUCGACUUCAAAUGUGCUUAUUAUAAUGUUAAAGUUUGCGUACCACCCCAAAUAUUUUCAAAGUCCAUUGAGAUAUUGCUUUCAUAUUUUGCCUACUUGUUUAACAUCAUGACCUCAGUCUGUAAACAGAAGCAGAUAAUUCUAUCAAGCAUUUUGGCUGAAUUAUGGACCCUUUUCGACUUAGAAUAUGCUUAUUGUAAAGUUUAAGUUUUACUCAUAGCUUAUUUUAUACUAUCAAGCUCUGAGAAUAGUCAAGCGUGCUGUUAACUGACAGCUCUUGUUUGUGAUAGUAGCCCUCUUGUUAAAGUUAGUUUGAUUAAACUUGUGUUAGAGUAAAUUUGAUUUCAUGUCAAUAAUCAUACCCAAUUUAAGAGAACUUUUGCUGUACUUUUUGACCAUGAAGGAAACCUGGCCGUGUGCUUGUAAAACUGUUUAUUUGUGCUUAACUCAAAUCUGUGCUCAUAUUCUGGUUUUCUCAUAUUUUACUUAGAUAAAUAGCUUCCCCCCCCCCCCCAAAAAAAAAAGAACCAAAUCAAAAUUUAUGCUCUACUGAGUUGAAUAUGUAACAAGUUUUAUAAGCACAGGGCCAGGUUUCAUGGUAUUGUAUUUCUCUUGUUUAUCUUAGGACUGAUUAUAUUUUUGUAACACUACAUUGUUGUUGUUAUAUUUUUUGUAACAUUACAUUUUUGCUUGAAAAAUAUAAAUGUUAAAUCAAAUACAAGAUUUUGCUUUUUC